GACCAGUCCUGAGUGAUACUCUUCCCUUCAGUCACUCCCUCUAUCACACCAUAUUAGUCUCUUCCUCUUCGUGGUGGGGAAAAGGAGGGCGUGAUCACACCUCUGUUUAGAACAACAAAAUUCCCCACUUGAUCCCACCCAGAAAGUGCAUGGUCUUUGAAUCAUUGAGGUUUCACCAUCUUGAGACUUCAGACAUCACCUAGUUUCAUAUUACACAAUGAGAUCAUCGGAUCGCCAAGAAUAAUUUAGUUUACAACAAAAACAGUGUUGGAAUAACUCAGCGGCUCAGGCAGCAUUUGUGGAGAACAUGGAUAGGUAACGUUCUUUGUGCCUACAUAACUUAGUUUAUAUUUACUUAAUGUCGACUACGUAGGCACAUGGACUUACUUCAAUUAAGUAGUUUAAAAUUGUAUUGAUUUUCGCUGUUACUCUAAAUAAAUAAAUGAGCUACACUCCAGUCCGUGAAUGACCAACAUAAAAAUCAAAGUGCCAGGAAUGAUCAGCAGAUCAAAGCGAAUCAGGGGAGAGAAACAGUUGGGACAGGUCGAUGACCUUCGGCCAAACAAACGGCAAAAUAGGUCAGUUUUAAAGCACAAAGUGGAGGAGGGGCGAACAAAAAAACCCGAAGGUUUUUACACAAUGCAGUGAGAAAAGAGACGAUUACCAUUUUAAUCGGUGGUGGUGGCACAGCGGUAGAGUUGCUGCCACAGGCGAUUUUUCAGCGGACUGCCGGCGACUCAAGUUGCCGGCAGUCGCCUGAAAAACUGGGAACUGCAACGGCGACUGUCAGAGUGGAACACAUAAACACAUCGCUUCCUUCACCAGCCCUGUCUAAAAAAUUAACACGGUGCAAAUCCAAGGUGAUACAGACACACACUGCGAUGAACAGGAAGGUUGGCGCUGUAAAUAGACGGCUAAAGCACAGUGUACGGAGAGGGGAGAAGAGGGAAUGGCUGGGAUGUGGAUGAUCCUUGGCUACUUUCCUGGGGAAAGUAAUUUGAUUGAAUGGGAGGCUGGUUCGUGUGAAGAACAGGGCUGCAUCCACAACUCUCAGCAAUUUCUUGCGGUAUUGGGCAGCUACCUAACCAAUUUAAGAUGCACCCCAAAAGGAUGCUUUCCACAGGCUUCUUCUGUUCAAGCCGCCGACAACAUGAAGCAGCCGGAGAUAAUACUAACCAGGUGAAUCGGUUGUAAAACAUGGGGAGGACCACAAUGAGGCCAAACAUCUAGGACAGGGUUCGGCAACCUACGGACACGGGUCGUAACCCAAAUAACCUGAACACCCUCC